rnacentral:rRNA from 1 species
UACGUAGGUGGCGAGCGUUGUCCGGAUUUAUUGGGCGUAAAGCGAGCGCAGGUGGUUUAUUAAGUCUGGUGUAAAAGGCAGUGGCUCAACCAUUGUAUGCGUUGGAAACUGGUAGACUUGAGUGCAGGAGAGGAGAGUGGAAUUCCAUGUGUAGCGGUGAAAUGCGUAGAUAUAUGGAGGAACACCGGUGGCGAAAGCGGCUCUCUGGCCUGUAACUGACACUGAGGCUCGAAAGCGUGGGGAGCAAACAGG